AGGCGAAUAGCUUAGUGGUAAAGCGCCUGGUUGAAACCCAGGAGUCGCAGGUUCAAUUCCCGCUUCGCCUA
rnacentral:tRNA from 1 species